UAGGGAAGGGGCUAGCGUUGUUCGGAAUUACUGGGCGUAAAGAGCGCGUAGGCGGCUUACCAAGUUGGGGGUGAAAUCCCGGAGCUCAACUCCGGAACUGCCUUCAAAACUGGUAGGCUCGAGUCCGGAAGAGGGGCGUGGAAUUCCCAGUGUAGAGGUGAAAUUCGUAGAUAUUGGGAGGAACACCGGUGGCGAAGGUGGCGCCCUGGUCCGGUACUGACGCUGAGACGCGACAGCGUGGGGAGCAAACAGG
rnacentral:rRNA from 1 species